UCUUUUGUUUCAAAGUUAUUUCAAGUUCCCAGACCCAAACCAACCUUGGCCCUUGAUUUUGGCCGGGUGAAUCCUGAGCAGUGGGCACAGGUCCUGUCAUUCAUGCUGAUGGGAGUGAUGCUUUCUGGGGAAAUCAGCUGAUUUCCAAAGUUCACUUUGCCUGCUUUGCACAGGAGAAAACCUCUUCCAUGAAGGGAUUUUGCUCCAUCCAAUCCCAUCUGCCCAGGCUGUUCCAUGAGGAUGUUGCCAGGCUGGGGCAGCACAGGCAGAUGCAGCUCUCAGCUCUCUCUGCUCCAAACACAGCUCUGGGCUCCUCUGCAAACUCCUCUGCCAUGAGGUUUCUCCAGCAGAAAUCAAGGAAUGGCUCACAGCAGGUGGAGAUUAAGUUAUCACAGAGGGAAGUAAAGGAUAAAUAUUCCUGUAAGAGCCUCUGGGAUCUGCUGGGCUGAAUGGGGAAGGGCACAUUCAUUCCCUGCAGUGCAAAUGCACAACAGCCUCCAACACAAAGCACAGACUGUCAGGUGGGGUCUGAAAGCACCACUUGGACAAACCCCAUUGUCUUUCUUCCUUCCAGGGACUUCUGCAAUCAAAGCCCAAAAGCUCUGGAGUCUGCUCUGGAACAAAAGGAUACUCCCAGGGGUGAGGCCCAUUCCCAGCAAACGCUCCCAACACGGCACAGAGGCACCACUGGAGCUCGUGCUGGGGCUGGGAAGGGCUGCCAGGAGGACACAGCCCCCAGGAGCUGCAAGAGGAAUGUCAGUCAUCAGGAAUGUCAGCUUCACCUCCUUGGCGUCGCCUCGUUAGUCCAGAAGAUAAUUAAUGCGAAGAGAAUUAAUCUGGUCAGCGGCAGAAGAUCAUCACAGCCAAACAUCCUCCUUGCCACAGGAUAGUCCCACCCUGUGGCCUGUUGUCUGAUCAAGAACUCCUUCCCAAACUCAGUCAUUCCAACUAAACCACAGCAGCACAGUUUGGAGGGACAGAAGUUUUCAGCCUCGUGUGAAGGAAGACAGAACUACCACUGGGAGAAAAUCCUGAAGUUUAAAAUCCUAUUCCUCACUUCUUUGACUAAUGAACCUCUUAAAAUCCAGUCUGGAUUGUGCAGAAAAGUUCCUUGGUCCCACUUGGAAAUUGAUCUCCCCAAAACAUCCACAAAAGCCAAUAAAUAGUUAUUACAACUCA